rnacentral:rRNA from 1 species
UACGUAGGGUGCAAGCGUUGUCCGGAAUUAUUGGGCGUAAAGAGCUCGUAGGCGGUUUGUCACGUCGGAUGUGAAAACCCGAGGCUUAACCUCGGGCCUGCAUUCGAUACGGGCUGACUAGAGUUCGGUAGGGGAGACUGGAAUUCCUGGUGUAGCGGUGAAAUGCGCAGAUAUCAGGAGGAACACCGGUGGCGAAGGCGGGUCUCUGGGCAGUAACUGACGCUGAGGAGCGAAAGCGUGGGGAGCGAACAGG